rnacentral:lncRNA from 1 species
GCCCUGUACCUAGACAAUCAGACCAGAGGGCCUGUACCUAGACAUCAGAACCAUAGCCCUGUCCUAACCUGACAAUCAGACCCGAGCCCCGUACCUAGACAAUCAGACCCAGAGCCUGUCCUAGACAAUCAGACCCAUAGCCCUGUACCUAGACAAUAAGACCGGAGCCCUGUACCUAGACAAUCAGACCAGAGUCUGUACCAGAGAUCCUGGUGUGUCCUGAUCCCUGGAACCGUCUGCUCUCCAUCUCCAACCAACCUCCAAGCUCUCUCUGACCGGAGAUAACCAGAGGACACUGUCUGUACCCAAAGUCUUGCUCCCAGUCCUACGGUGGAUGUUUCAAUAGAUCUUCUAGUGGUCCCUUUUCUUACUCUCUGAACCUCAUAUCUCACGUUUAUUGAUAAAGAAUGUGAUCUUUUGGUGUUUUCCGACAGUACUGUUUGCUGUCUCAAUACACCUAACAUGAAGACAGGGGUACUGAGGAAUGAUGAUACAAUACUAUAUUGAAUCAGAACUUUUCCUCAUGAAUGCCUUUACAGACUUACAGUUCAUUUAGAUUUGUGAAAGAUGUGGUUUAGGGGACAGAGUGUGACUGUGCCAUAGAUGUGUGUUGGUAUCAGGUGGUGGUGAACAUAUGGAGAGCAGGGUAGAGGUGUCAGGGUAGGGUGAACAUAGCUGUGAACUGUCAGGAUGAUGUAUAUAGCUGUAGAGGUGUCAGGAUGAUGUAUGGUAGCUGUAGAGGUGUCAGGGUGAUGUAUGGUGCUGUAGAGGUGUCAGGAUGAGUAUUGUAGCUGUGAGGUGUCAGGGUGAUGUAUGGUGCUGUAUGAGAUGUCAGGGAUCUAUGAUAGCUGUAGAGGUGUCAGGAUGAUGUAUGAUAGCUGUAGAGGUGUCAGGAUAAUGUAUGAUAGCUGUAGAGGUGUCAGGAUGAUGUAUGAUAGCUGUAAAAGUGUCAGGAUGAUGUAUGAUAGCGUAGAGUGUCAAGUGAUCUAUGAUAGCUGUAUAGGUCCCAGGGUGUCUAUGAUAGCUGUAGAGGUGUCAGGUGAAUCUAUGGAGCUGUAGAGGUGUCAGGGUGUCUAUGAUAGCUGUAGAG